UUGGAGCAAUCUUGGCCAAUUCCGAGGCUGCUUUCACCAACAUGAUGCGGGAGUGCCAAGAGUACGGCCAGUUGGAUCGGAACGAAUACUUAGGAGAGCCCGAACAUAACUAUGGAUGUUUGGUAAACUACGAAGGCGUCUGGAUCCGGGCGGUCAAGCUAACUGCGGACUGUGAAAAUCAAUUCUUUUUGAUAGACUUGGGACUCUUCUCCCAGCUUGACAAAUCGUGGCCCAAGCGCCGAUAGCCCCCAGGGCUCACAAGGAAGCUUUCCUGUUCGGAAUAUCAUAUAGAAAACACUGAAUUUCUUACCAAUGAAACGAUAGCAAGCAGCAAUUUGAUCGAUGCUUUGCGCGGCACGAAGGUUAAAGCAAAGGUGUACUGUGAUGAAGAAUCUGAACUAUUUCGUAUGAAAAUCAUUUCUAUAAUUAAACGUUAAACGCAGAAAUCGUUAAAUGAAAUAACUAUUAAGAACUUCAUAAGUAUUACGCGAUUAUAGAACGGCUUGAUGCUUUUUGCAACACUUCAAUCAUGUAGCAGCAGCGAAAAUCAAAGGGAAUGAACUCUGUUAGCACACUUCAGACAAUCUUUUGGCGGCUUUCGCUUCUGGUUUUUUAAUUGGUUUGAUGUGAUAUUGGUCUAGUGAUCUUACUUUUGCUUAUAGGUUUUCAUAUGGAUUUUCUACGUUUUGUUUCUCUGGGCAGUUUAUUU